AAGGAGCUUGCUCCUUUGACGUUAGCGGCGGACGGGUGAGUAACACGUGGGUAACCUACCUAUAAGACUGGAAUAACUCCGGGAAACCGGGGCUAAUGCCGGAUAACAUGUUGAACCGCAUGGUUCUACAGUGAAAGACGGUCUUGCUGUCACUUAUAGAUGGACCCGCGCCGUAUUAGCUAGUUGGUGGGGUAACGGCCUACCAAGGCGACGAUACGUAGCCGACCUGAGAGGGUGAUCGGCCACACUGGAACUGAGACACGGUCCAGACUCCUACGGGAGGCAGCAGUAGGGAAUCUUCCGCAAUGGGCGAAAGCCUGACGGAGCAACGCCGCGUGAGUGAUGAAGGUCUUCGGAUCGUAA
rnacentral:rRNA from 1 species